rnacentral:rRNA from 1 species
AUUAAACGCUGGCGGCAUGCCUUACACAUGCAAGUCGAACGGCAGCACGGGGGCAACCCUGGUGGCGAGUGGCGGACGGGUGAGUAAUACAUCGGAACGUACCCUGGAGUGGGGGAUAACGUAGCGAAAGUUACGCUAAUACCGCAUAUUCUGUGAGCAGGAAAGCAGGGGAUCGCAAGACCUUGCGCUCUGGGAGCGGCCGAUGUCGGAUUAGCUAGUUGGUGGGGUAAAGGCCUACCAAGGCGACGAUCCGUAGCGGGUCUGAGAGGAUGAUCCGCCACACUGGGACUGAGACACGGUCCAGACUCCUACGGGAGGCAGCAGUGGGGAAUUUUGGACAAUGGGGGCAACCCUGAUCCAGCCAUUCCGCGUGAGUGAAGAAGGCCUUCGGUUGUUAAAGGACUCUUUCUAGCAGGAACG